rnacentral:lncRNA from 1 species
GUAGUUGCUGAUGUCACACAAAAAGAGACACCGAGAUCAGAGAUCAGAGAAGGUGAAAGGAAACGGUUCAUUGUUGUUGAAGAGACUGCCAUAAGUAAAGCGUUUGGUGCUGAUAAUAUAUUGAGAGACAGACAGGGCAGGAAGAGCAUUGCAAUCAGAGCUGAAGAUGAUGAAGUUCAGAGUCAGACACAUGGAUUAGAUGGAAACUCUCCUGGAAAUGAACUAAACGAGCUAAAGGAUUUGACCGAGGAUGUGAAGAUCUCUGAACAAGAAACACGUAUUCCCACGUAACAUUUACAGGUACAACGUACUUUGUGCAUUUGGAUAGAUGUUGAAAUGUAAAGUGCCGAUGUCACACAAGAAGAGACACCGAGAUCAGAGAUCAUAGAAGGUGAAAGUGAACGGUUCAUUUAUGUUCAAGAGACUGCCAUAAGUAAAGCGUUUGGUGCUGAUAAGAGAUUGCGAGACAGACAGGGCAAAAAGAGCCUUGUAAUCCGUAAAACCAAGACUGAAGAUGCUGGAGUUCAAACGCAUGGUGAGUAGUUUAAUGUAA